UUAAAAUCUUUAUGUGCGUUGUUUUUACACACGCCACUUGUCUAUGUCAAAUGGCAAAUAUUUUAUGCUGGUUUCUUCCUCAUUUUCGUGUUUCUCUUUCACUUCACUUUUAAAUGGUUUGCAUUCAGCCUGGCUCACAAGGACUGGAUUUAGUGGUGUAGAAGAGUAAUAAUGUAAAGAGAUAUAAGCGAUCCGCAUAUUUGGCCUGAGACAUCAUGUGAUGUAAAAUAAGCAUGACUAGAUUGGUGUUAUAAUGACAAUAGCUCAUAACAGAUACAGAUUAUAUCACUGGUGUGUUUACUGGCUCGUUAUAGUUUGCCCACAUUUUUAUUUACCUCUUCAUUACUUGGCUUCAUUGUUUGCUGUUCAUUCAUAGCUGCAUAGCCACUUGCUCUUUCUAAAAAUUUAAUUUCACUCAAUUCUGUAGAGGUUGUUCACGAGUCGUGUCUGCAGACAAUAGGUGUUUCCCUCUUGCUUCCUGUAGUGAGGGGGAAAACCAUCACAACUGGCUCUGUUCCUGCCAGCAGAGAACCUGGCUCCCUGCCUGAAAAGGUCUCCAGGGCCCAGCGAAUGUGAAACACUUUACCUCGGGGGAGUUUGACAGAUCUUCACUCAGCCUUUGCGUUUUCCACUUUUCUUCGUGGAGAAUCAGAUAGUUGGAGAGUGAUGUGUGUGUGUGUGUGUGGUGGUGUGCAGCGAAGCUUGUGAGCCUGACUCAUGCAGUUGUAAGACAGUGCUUGUGUCUUACUGCCCUCCGACUCCUGCUGUCAGGGUGUUGUGAAAGGAAAACAUCACGAGGUUAUUCACAAUCAAAGAAUGACAUCAGUUUAUUGGUUACAAGGCAGACUUUUAGACACCGAGAGGAGGUCGCUCUUCCUCACCGUCAUCGUUUACUGAUUGAUCAGCUGUGUCUGUUCAUUUCCAGUGCUGCACUCAAACCUUGAGGUCUCUGUCUUUAAACUUUAAUCUCCGUUAAACAUUUAAGUCUGCUUCCCUGCUAAUGUAGACUUUGGAACAUCCAGGUCCUGUCCAAGAUCCAUGAUUGUAGACAUUUGGGAAAAGACAGUUAAUGUUUUGGACGGGGGACAAAGCUCCACACCUGGUCCCACCCACGGCAUCCUGCCUAAUCAGCCACGUUGACAAGAUGAUAAAGACCAUUUCCUGUCUGGCGCGUUCUGAAGCCUAUUGUUUUGUUUGAUGUGUUUGGUUUUCUGGUUUUUAUUAUAUGUUGUGCUUGUAUGCUUCUCCUCGAACAAGUGCAACAAAUAAAACCCGUGUUGUUCACUCCUCUGCACCAACAUUAGCAAGUCUGCUGUUUUUCCAGCAGAACCAUCAAUCAGGCUGUCUUUUCCGACACUCUCUGCGAGACGAGCUGCCGUGAGGAGAGCACCGAGUGAUCGGGCAGUUGUCCUGAGGAAAUCCUCUUGACUGCAUUUUGCUGCCAGACAAUGAAUGGAAGUGUCCUUUAGCAUCCUCCAAAUGAACUGUUGUAGUUUACUGGAGCUUGUGCUUUGGCUGUUUCCCUCCCUUAUGUCUCCAUUUGCUGGACUGGAACACGACAGAUGCAGUUUCUUUUCUUGUAGAACAGUUAGAGGACUGGUUCGGCAGUUGUACAGUAUGUGAAGUGAAUUCUAAUUGAAAUAAGCUGCUCGAGCGCUGCCUGCAGUAACCACAUGGUGGCACUGCUCAUCAGGCUGUGGAUUUGUUAUGAAACCAACCUCACUGCUUUUGUGAUGUGAAUACUGAGUGGGUGCAAGUGAUUCAGUACUCACCGGAGCUUCUUUUGGGGAGGCACUUUGUAUAUUCAGUAUAUAUUCAUUCUUUAGAUGUGGCAUUUCGGUCACGGAAUAUAGGAAUAUUUUUGUGUGUCGUGCAAGGGCGUUUAGUUUUCAAGAAUGAUUUUUUUAAUGCCAAAAUGAGUCGUCAAGUAUUUGAAAAUACAUCCUGUAAUGCUAUAUCUUGCCCAUAUCUCCUAAAUAAAAAUGGCAGAUAACACAA